AAGGGCCAUCUGACAUCCAGCUGCUACAACAGGAGAAGAGAUUUUAACUAAGAGAAAGGACAGUGGGUUACUUGGGCAAACUCCAUCAGACACCCCAUUAGCCACCUGAAAUAGACCACAAGAAAUAUUCACUGCCCAAAUGCCGUUUCAUUCCUUCAAGAAGAAAAGUUCUCUCCCACACUUUCUGAGGGAAGAUGAUAUGAAGACACACAAGGGAAAGGCCAUGUGAAGACGGAAGGAUAGGAGGCAUGCAUCUACAAUGAAUAUCAAAGAUUGCUGACAAACCACCAGAAGUUUAGGAAGAGCAAGGAAGGAUUCCCCUAUUGGUUUCAGAAGAAGCAUGGCCAUGCCA